AAACCUUUUGGAAAAUCUUCUGAUCGAGAAUUUUUGAGACUUUAUACCCAAUUAUAAAAGAGAAACUUUUGAUUGCUGUACAUUUUUCAGAAAGACUUACUCUUGUACUUUGAAUUUACCGCAAAUAGCAUUUAAAAACGAAGAAAAAAUUGUGCUUGCUUGUUAUUGUGACGCUUAUAAGCAUUGAAUAUGCGGUAGCACAACGCUAUUUAAUUCCGAGAGAGCAAAGCAUGACGAUAAGGCAAAAUUGCUUGCCAGCGCCACCAAAUGACUCCAUAUGAUUCUAUAUAGUUCUGCGGUUGCCAGCGGUUCUAAUCUCUAAUAGAGCGUUGCCGAGCUGUCAUUAUCGUCGUGCUUUGCGAGAGAGAGGAAAAAUUGGCCCGAUGCAAUUCAGUAUUGCAAUAGAAGAAAUAGGAGAUUGGUGAGCAUUGAAUCGCAAGACGAGUUGGAUCAAAUUAUCUAUGCAAUCAGACACAAGGACUUCGGAACCGAAUAUAUUUGGACAUCUGGGACUAAUCAAAACAGUUGGAAUGGAAAAUAUACUUGGUAUGAAAUUGAUGAGCCUGUAGGCUGUAACCCUUGAUAAUUGGGCAAAUGGUCAGCCGGAUAACUACGGUGGAGAUCAAAAUUGCAUCAUUUUGGAUCGCAAUCAUAACUAUCAAUUUGAUGAUGCCAAUUGCUACAUCAACAAAUACAAUUUCAUUUGUGAAGAAAAGUACUAGAUUACGAUCUUCAUUCCAUAUUACUACUCUCAACUUACGGAUGUACUGUUUGGU